rnacentral:rRNA from 1 species
AUUGAACGCUGGCGGCAUGCUUUACACAUGCAAGUCGAACGGUAACAGGCCUUCGGGUGCUGACGAGUGGCGCACGGGUGAGUAAUGCAUCAGAACGUGCCCAGAGGUGGGGGAUAACGCAGCGAAAGCUGUGCUAAUACCGCAUGUGAUCUGAGGAUGAAAGCGGGGGACCAGGCAGCAAUGUUUGGCCUCGCGCCUUUGGAGCGGCCGAUGUCAGAUUAGGUAGUUGGUGGGGUAAAGGCCUACCAAGCCGACGAUCUGUAGCUGGUCUGAGAGGACGACCAGCCACACUGGGACUGAGACACGGCCCAGACUCCUACGGGAGGCAGCAGUGGGGAAUUUUGGACAAUGGGCGCAAGCCUGAUCCAGCAAUGCCGCGUGCGGGAAGAAGGCCUUCGGGUUGUAAACCGCUUUUGUACGGAACGAAAAGGCUCUGGCUAAUACCUGGGGCUGAUGACGGUACCGUAAGAAUAAGCACCGGCUAACUACGUG